rnacentral:tRNA from 1 species
UAGGGUAUGGCUCAAUGGUACAGCACUUUGCCUAGCAUGCAAGAGGCCCUGGGUUCAAUCCCCAGCACCACAA